ensembl:lncRNA
UGUAGUCCGUGGGGCUGCAAAGAGUCAGACACUGCUUAGCAACUGAACAACAAUUGACAGUUCAAAGGAGAUUUAGUUCUAAAUUCUAGAACAGAAUAAUGAGAAAUAAUAGUAACACAGUGAGACAGUAUAUAGCAGGCACUAUUCCAAGCACUUAGCAUAAAUUAACACUUUUUAUCUGCAUGAAAACUUUGUGAAACAGAGAUUAUCAGUAUCCUCAUUUUUACCGAUGAGGAACCUGGAACACAGAGAGUGGAAGGAAUUGUUCAGUACCAUCUGAAAGAAUCUGUCUGCAAUGCGGGAGACCUGGAUUCAAUCCCUGGAUUAGGAAGAUCCCCUGGAGAAGGGAAUGGCAACCCACUUCAGCCUUGUUGCCUGGAGAAUCCCCAUGGACAGAGGAGCCUGGCAGGCUGCAGUCCAUGGGGUCUUGAAGAGUCAGACAUGACUGAGUGAUUAAGCACUGCUGCUGCUGCUAAGUCGCUUCAGUCGUGUCUGACUCUGUGCGACCCCAUAGACGGCAGCCCACCAGGUUCCCCCAUCCCAGGGAUUCUCCAGGCAAGAACACUGGAGUGGGUUGCCAUGUCCUUCUCCAAUGCAUGAAAGUGAAAAGUGAAAGUCAUGGAGUGCUGGAGUGGGGUGCCGUUGCCUUCUCCGACUAAGCACAGCAAGGAUGAAUAAUUCAGAAGUAGAAGUAGACAUAUUAUUAAAGGAAAACCCUCGUGGCUCAGAUGGUAAAAACAUCUGCUUGCAAUGCGGGAGACCCGGGUUUGAUCCCUGGGUAGGGAAGAUCCUCUGGAGAAGGAAAUGGCAAUCCACUCCAGUACUCUUGCCUGGAAAAUUCCAUGGAUGAAGGAGCCUGCUGGGCUACAGUCCGUGGGGUCACAAAGAGUCGGACACGACUGAGCGACUUCAAUUUCAAAAUUUCACCAUCAGAAAAACUAGAAAACCUGAGCCAAGAAUUGACCCCCCUGGGGAGGGGGCAGGAGAGGUCUCUGGUGGAAAAAGACUUCUGGUGUUACACUUUACUUUUUGGCCCCCCCCCGAUAUUUAUAUGCUGAGAUAUUACAUUUGUCUUCAUGUUCGCAGCUAAUACUUCUUUAUUGUUGAAACAAAAUGUUUUAUUAUGUAUUAUUGCUAUCGUUUUAGAAACAAGUUCAAUUUCUCCCCCAAAUUAAUACUCUCAACGUGUUGCCUCAUCCUGACGACCCUGAAGGGAAGCUGCACCUUUUGGAGUAACACUAGUGGGCAGGGGCGGGGGCGGGGGCGGUCCGGAGCCCCCCUCUCACAGCCAGCUCAGCCUGUCCCCUCUCUUGUGUCCAGUCAAGCCUCCCUCCCACUCCCAGGAAAAGUCUGUCUGGCAAAGUCUUCCAAGUUCAGAACCUUGGCAGGCGCAGUUUGCCAGAAGGAAGCCCACGACUCCGGGAAAUGGCUGUUUGUCCCUCUGCCACAGGGCAAGGGUGUCGGAGGCGGGCCCUGGGAGAGCCUAAGGAGGACUGGCUUGCACCUCGACUCGCACCCUCAGCGGGGGUGCUGGGGACAUCUGUGGCCCCCCGCCUAGGUCUGGCAGCGUCCUCCAGCUCCCUGGAAGCGCCCGGUCCCCAGAGCCCCCUCUGGAGCCGCCGACCCAGCCGCAGGCCCGGCGAGGGCUCCAGACUCUGCCCGAAGCGACUGCGUCCCUGUGGUUCUCGCCGUGAGUCACAGCGGGUCUGCGCCGCCCUCCUAUCUGGGGAGCCGGAGAUCGCCUUUAAUUCCCUCCAGCUGGGCCCUGCAGGGCUGAGGGCACCGUCUAGAAGUCGUUUUUGAUUAGAAGUUGACCUCAGAAGUAUGCGCGCAUCAUUUUCAAAACAUCCGCCAGCACCGCAGAAACCGAUGCAGCAUAAGGGUCCCGGCGGACGGAGGCCAGGGACCGCGGCGGGGGGGCGGGGGGGGGCACCGGCCUCAGUCAAAGCUGGGGUGCCGUCCCCCAUCAGCUCCCCGGAAAGCGCACUGACCUGGGGCCAGCCGGGGGCGACAGGGACGCUUGUCCUCGUCGUGGUCGUCCUCAUGCAAUGCCGGCCGAUAUUAGAGUCGUUACAGACCACGCCGUUCUCACGGAGCUGUCUGUCCAGCAGCAUCUUGUCAGGCAGGCACUCCUGGAGUUUGCGGUCUGAGCGGCAUUGUCAGUACUUCUCAGGAGCUGGGAGGUCAGAGUGGAAGGUCAAAGCCCCUGACCCACUUGGGUGGGGCUAUCUGGUGGCAGAAUCAGAGGUCCCCCUGGGAACACAGAGCCCGAGGCAAAGCCUGCUCAGCCCCGCGGGAGAAGCUCUGAGCCGGUGAGGUGGCAAAGGGGUGUCAGAGGUGGUGAGCAGGACGUGAGUGGGGUUCAAGGUCGGCGGUGAUAGGAGAGGGGAGGAAGUUGGCUACACGGGCUGGCGAGCAGCAGAAAGCUAAGGCUGACCAAGGUCAGCUGUGUGCACCCAUGCUCAGUCAUGUCUGACUCUUUGAGACUUCGUGGCCUGUAGCCCGCCAGGCUCCUCUGUCCAUGGGAUUUUUCCAUGGUAAAAAUACUGGAGUGGGUUGCCAUUUCCUUCUCCAGGGGAUCUUCCUGACCCAGGGAUCGAACCUGUGUCUCCUGCAUUGGAAGGCAGAUGCUUUACCCCUGAACCCCCUGGGAAGCCCGACCACAGUCUUGGUUCUGGUUAUCUGCUGUCCACUCUGUGCCACGUGGUCUGUGAAGAUAGGUGGGCAUGAAACCUUCAUUCCCCCAGGGCCUGCAGGCUGUUGGAAGGGAGCAGACUGGGAGCAGUCACCUCCAACCAGGGGACUCUGGCAAGCUCCUGGUGAGGGGCAGCCGUGGCCUUGGGCAGGGUGGGGGUGGGGGCCUGCACGGGAGGGAAGCAAGCGCCUGUGUGUUUAGCUGAGAGACACACCUGUGGGGAAAACGGUGGCUUCAUUUGGCAGGGGUGUGGGCUGAGGGAAAGGGGGGAUUCCAGGGGCUCCAAAAGGCGGGAUAGGCGAAAAUACUGUGAAGGUUUGCUCAUGGUAGCAAUGGUGACUGACACAGCCGGAGAGGCCUGGCGUCCGGCACCCCUGCCCCAGGGAGAGGCAAGUGCCAAAGGCCUGGAGGGCUGAGCUGCCCACCCACCUGUGGGAGCAGCUCCUCAGAUGGGACCCCUAGUGUCUGCAUCUUGUGAGGCCUCCUGUGAGGUGUUUGAGUAUCGAUGAACUGGUGGCUAGUGGUCAAGAAUCCGCCUGCCAGUGCAGGAGACACGAGAGACGCGGGUUCGAUCCCUGGAUGGGGAAGAUCUCCUGGAGGAGGAGGUGGCAAGCCACCCCAGUCUUCUUGCCUGGACAGUCCCAUGGAUGGUGGAGCCUAGAGGGCUUCAGUCUGUGGGCAAAGCAUCAGGCACGACUUAGCAACUGAACAACAAUGUUUCUUGUGGGUGGCCUGUGUGUUUCUUUCCCGGGGCUGCUAUAAAAAAUUGCCACAAACUGACUAGCCUAAAACAACCAAAUUUUUUUUUCUUUCAGACCUGGAGGCUGGAAGUCCAAAAUCAAAGUGUCUGCCAGGCCAUGGUCCCUCUGACGGCUCCAGGGGCUCCUUGGCUCAUGGCAGCCCAGCCCUAGUCUCUGCCCCCGUCUUCACGAGGCCGGCUCUGCCUUUUCCUCCUCUUAGAAGGACACUCAGCACUGGGUUUAGGCCCCACCCCCACCCCCAGAUAAUCCAGGGUGAUCUUGAGGUCACUGUAUAAUGCCAAGGACGCUUUUUCCAAAUAAGGUAAGUUUCACAGGCUCCUGUUGGACACUUGUGGGAUCUGAGGCGUGCAUGCGUGUUAAAGUCACUUCAGUCGUGUCUGACUCUUUGUGACCCCAUGGACUGUAGCCCGCCAGGCUCCUCUCUCCGGAUUCUCGAGGCAAGAACACUGGAGAGGGUUGCCGUCUCCUCCUCCAGGAGAUCUUCCCGACCCAGGGAUCGAACCCGCGUCUCUUACAUCUCCUGCAUUGGCAGGCGGGUUCUCUACCUCCAGCACCACCACGAGGCCCCAUUUAACCUGCAACGGUCAGUAAGACCUAUUUCCCCCCCUUAAGCGGGAGCUUCCUGAGAAUGGAAACUGCGCCUCCCUUCCUUCCUCCCUCCCUGCCUCCCUUCCUUCCAGAAAUAUCGAGGGAACGCCUGCCAUGGUCCAGGCACAGUGCUGGGCCCCGGGGAGACGGAAGCAAUGCAAACAUGUCCAUUAGCUGCCUUCACAGAGCUGGCUCUGCAGUGGGGGAGGCAGACCCAGGAGAAACAGGCAUUCCCGAAGGCUGCACGUGGAGCUGCAGAGGAAAGCAGGGAGGGGCACGACCAGCAGGGCUGGGGGCUGGCUAGGGCGGGAUGGGCCGACCAGCUCCAACCAGGGAGGUCAGGGAAGGCGUCACGGGAGGUGUGACACCUGGGCUGGACCCCAGAUGUGGAGCCAGACCAGGUUGGAAGCUGCCCUCACUUCCUGGCCGAGUGUGAUCUUGGCCAGUUGCUGCACCCCCUGUGCCUCAGUUUCCUCGUAGGUAAAGUUCUGGCAGCAACGACAUGGUCUCCUGGAACCACCCCGAGGGUUCGGGGAGUGAACCUGUGAGGUUCUUUCACAACCACAGGAUUCCUAGAACUUGCUUCAUGCUGCUGCUGCUGCUGCUAAGUCGCUUCAGUCGUGUCCAACUCUGUGGAGCCCCAUAGACGGCAGCCCACCAGGCUCCUCCGUCCCCGGGAUUCUCCAGACCUUAAAAGCAGUCAUCAUGCAACAUCCUGAAACAUCUUAGAGCUCCGUGCACGCCUGCUCAGUCACGUGAGUCCUGUCUGACUCUGCCACCCCGUGGACUGUGGCCCGUCAGGCUCCUCCAUCCGUGGGAUUCUCCAGGCAAGGAUACUGGAGUGGGUUGCCAUUUCCUUCUCCAGGGAAUCUUCCCAGCCCAGGGAUCGAACUCGAGUCUCUUAUGUCUCCUGUGUCGGCCUGCGGAUUCUUUACCACCAGAGCCACCUGGGAAGCCCCUUAGAGCUCCCCACUCCUUCCUUAUCUUACCUGUUAAGAAUGGGCUUGUUUGAAUCAGGCUGGAGGCUGGGAUAGAAACCCUAUUUUCUUUAGGGUUGGCGGCUGUCCUGGGGGAUGUUGGCCCAGUGUUUUGGGCAGAGCGAGCUGAGUCCUUGGGAGCUCGGGACCAGCUAGUGGAGCCGGGAGCUCCUCCUACAUCGUGUUGACGCAGCAGAUGGACGGAGGGCAGGCGAAAGGUGGUCCUGGAGUGAGAUGCAGAGGAGGGGCAGAGAGGCGGGGGAGAGGGCCCUUACAGGAGGCCCAGGGGGAGCCCCGGGCCCCAGGGCCAGCAUCGCCUCCCGCCUGUCCCUCUAGGGGGCAGUAAGGCUCCACCGAGCGUCUCUGCCUCGGGAAACGCUCCUCGUCUUAUUAACAGAAUGUGCCCCAGUAUCUGCAUCAGGGAAAUUUCUGCACAGACUUGGCCUUGGCUGGGCCCAGAGGAUGUCUCUUUUCACCUUCGGACGUUUGAGGGGGAAAUGCUCAUUAGGAAGAAAAGUAUUUAAUGUCACGGUAACAGAUGAACGGUUCCGAAACACAGAAGCCGACAGCUGUACCCACUUAGGGAGCACGUUGGGGUUCCAGCUGGCAGGAGUUCACCCCCCUCCAGCCUGCCCUGGGAAGGAAGCUGGAUUUCUAAGACUCGUAAUAUUCACAGGGAGAAGACGUGCGUUUCCGCGCUAGCGUUCGUGGCCAGGUUCGGGUUUUUAGACCCUCUAAACAAACCUCCUUGAGUGGAUCUUCCCCAUCCAUCUUAGGGGGCAUCUCGUCCUCUUCCUCACCCAUCUUAGGGGGCACCUCGUCCUCUUCCCCACCCAUCUUAGGGGGCACCUCGUCCUCUUCCUCUGUUGCCGGGGGAACCAGGACAGCCCCCGGCUGUGUUUUGAUGUAACCCCAUGGCAGCACCCCCUCGUGGCGUGGCCUCGUGGUCCCCUCUGGGGGCAGGUAUGUGCAUGGGGCACACAGACCCGGCUCAGGUCCUAACUCUGCCACUUCACGCCAUGUGGUCAUCAGCGGGGGUCCUCCUGGAGCCUCGCACCUGGCCCACGGGGUGACUGUGAUCCAGGCUUUGCGGGGUGCCAGGCACGCCCUGACUCACCGUCACGCUGCCAGCCACCCUGCCAGCUCCCACCCACCUGCCUAUCCAGCCUCCUGGCCUGACCAACCGCUUCCCUCUUCUGUGACUCUUGUCACUUACCUCCAUCCCUUCUGUGUCUACGGUUUACUGUCCAUCUCCUGCUGGAAUGUGAGCUCUCCCCUGCUCUGUCCAGAACACAUCCUCAGCAUCAGUAGAUACCGUUGAGUACAUGUGUGGGUGAGUAGGAGCUCUCACCCAGCUAUCCGGCCUCGGUUUCCCUGGAUGCGCAGUGAGGAUGGAGCUACUGAGCAAAGUCUCCAGGCUCUUCUGGAUGGAUCCUGUGAGCAGACCCGAGUAGAAGCAUCUGGCCCAGGCACUCACCAGGUUCUGGUUCACCAGAACCAGGCACAUUCACAUCCCUGGUUGCUGGGUUUCCAGUGUUGCGUGCAGCUUUUGAGAAAAAUUCUUACCGAUGGUUCAGUUUUUCCAAGCCAGUCAUUUACUAUUUUAUUUUGUUUGUUUAUCUGUUCUCGGCUGUGCUGGGUCUUCAUCGCUGCACGUGGGCUUUCCCCUCGCUGUGGCGGCAGCGUUCAGGCCUCUCAUCGCGGUGGCUGCUCUUGUUCGCAGAGCGGGCUCUGGGGCUCGUGGGCUCCGUAGCUGUGGAUAGGUAGCUGCGGCACACGGCUUGGUUGCUCCCCUGCAUGUGGGAUCUUCCCCGAUCAGGGACUGAACCCCUGUCUCCUGCAUUGGCAGGUGGAUUCUUUGCCGCUGAACCACCAGGGAAGACACCCUGUCUGUGGCUUUAUGUUACAGUCAGAAGAAUCACCAUCCCCUGCCCCUCAAGGGCGGCCACCAUUUAUACAGACUCACCCAGUGAGGCCAGCGUGGGGUCUUUGCAUUUUGGAUGUUUCUGCACACCAGCUGGGGGAGGCCCAGGGAGGAGAACCCUGAGGGCCAGGGAAGUGGGCUCACGGGCCUGUGGAGCGACGCGUGGAGCUUAGGGCUGUGUCCGCUCUCCUGAGCGAAGCCGGUGGCAGCGCUCACUGGGGGAGGAGCUGGCCCGUGGCGGGCGACAGGCGCCCCCCAUGGUGGCCAAGAGCCUGGGCUCCUGAGGCACACACGUGGACGUGGCCACGAGCCCCAGCUGGGCUGCUUUCCCGCUGGGCGGCCUCAGCAGGUGACUUCACACCUCUGAGCCUCGCUUUCCUGUCAGGAGGGGUGACAGGUGCCUGCUGCUCCGAGGGCCGUGGUGAGAGCAUCACAGGCACAGCUUCCCAGCGCUGUUACUGUGCCAAGUUCAGAGCUGAGCAGAGGAGGCGAGGGAAGCACAGAAACGGUCCCUGAAGACAUCCAUCUGGAACCCGAAUGGAUGCCACCUCGAGCGGGACAUUAAGGCUGCAGCUGUAAUUAAGCUUGCUAGUCAGCUGACCUCAUGAUCAGGAGACUGGCCUGGGGGACCCGGGUGGGUCCAGUGGAGCCACAAGAACCGGUAAACGUGGGUGAGGGUGGCGGCGAGGAAGGCAGGCCUGCCACCGCUGGUGCUGAAGCCGGAGGAAGGGGCAUGAGCCAAGGAGUGUGGGUGGCCCCCAGAAGCUGGAAAAGGCAGGGAACAUCCUUGAGCUUCCAGAAGGAACACAGCCCUGCCAGCACCUUGACUGUGGCCCACAGGCUUCUGACCUCCCAAACUGUGAGGCGAUAACACUCCGCUGUUUGAAGGCAUACGAUUGUGGCAAUUUGUCGGUGCAGUGACAGGAAACUCAGAGAAGGGGAAGGACGCAUCCCAGGAGGCAGGCUACAGCCAGGCUUCCCUGGGGGCUCAGUGGCAGACUCGACCUGGGUCUCCCUCCUCGGAGCAGAACUUAGCAGUAUUAGCAUCAGUUGAAACCGCUGCUGGGGGUGGGGACAGGGGGAGAUUGAAAGCUCGUAGAACCCAGGCCCUUUGUAAAUGAAAAGACUGUCCAGAUCAUCAGCAUUCCAUAAUGAGGUGUCCUCAGAGUUAGUCCUGAGCCAUGUUCUGCUCCACAUGGCCCCACGGGUCAGCCAGGUAGGAAAUGCUGUGGGCACUGCCCACCUUUUAAACAGCCGUGGUACUCUUUGUCUCUGAGAGGUUCUGAGAAGGCCUGCAGCGAAAAGCAAAAAAAGCUUUCUAACUCCAAUUCAGCACUUCCAAAGAUAUCAUACCAUAAACCGGCUCCCCCCAGUCUCUUCCCCAUGGAACAUCUGCUAACAGCUCAUGAAGUUUGUGUUUGGUUGGACGGGCUGAUCUAAUUAAAUUGAUUCAUGAGACAAACAGGAAAAUCGAAGCCCAAAGAGGUGAAGGGGCGCUGGAGAAGCAGUGCGGCUCAGAGGGGAGAACGCGGGCUUCGGAGUCAAAGAGCCGGGGCUGUGCAGCUGGGCUCUGCUGCAGCCAGUCGCACGGCCCUGGGAAAGUCAUGCCACCUCUCGGGGCCUCUGAUUCCUGAUGAGUAAAAUGUAGGUAAGAGAGCCUUCUUGGCGGAAUCCUGAGAAUGACUGUCUCCAUCUGUUUGGGCUGUUAUAACCAAGUACCACAGUGGCGGGGGUGCUUGUGAACAAUAGGAAUUGAUUUCUCACAGUUCCAGAGGCUGGGAGUCUGAGAGCAGGAUACCAACAUGGGCAGGUCCUGGUGAGGGCCCUCUUGUGGCCUGCAGACUGCCCACGUCUCCCUGUGUCCUCAUGGGGUGGAAGGAGAGCUCUCUGGGGCCUCUUUUGUAUGGGUACUAAUCCCCUUCAUGAGGGCUCCACCCUCAAGACCUAAUUACUCCCAAAGGCACCUCCUAACACCAUUACACUGAGGGCCAGGAUUUUAGCCUGAGUUUUCAGUCCACUGGAGUGGCUGGCGCCCACCUGGCAGGUUGGUAGGGAAGAGGAGCUACUAUUUCUUACAAGUUUCCCAUUGUUGCCACAAGUCACCACAAACUUAAUGGCUUACAGCACAAAUUAACUAUCUUACAUUUCUGGAGGUCAGGAGCCCUACAGGAAAGAUGUCAGCCGGGCUGUUCCUUUCGGAGGCUCCGGAGCAGAAUCAUUUCUGGAGGUCAGGAGCCCUAAAGGAAAGAUGUCAGCCGGGCUGUUCCUUUCGGAGGCUCCGGAGCAGAAUCUGGGAGAAUCUGCCUGCCUUCCCCAGCCUCUAGAAGCUUCCUGUGCUCCUCGGCUCUCGUCGCUCGGACUUCUGCUUCUGCCACUGCAGCCCCUUCUCCGACCUUCCCGCCUCCCUCCUAUAAAGGGCUCUGUGACGGCAGUGGGUCUACCUAGAUCAUCCAGAACAAUCUCCCGACCCCCAGAUUCUUAACAUCACCGCAGUCGCAAAGUCCCCUUUGCCUUGUAAGGUGACAUAGUCCCAGGUCCCAGGAAUCAGGAUGUGGACCUCUCUGGGGACUGCUGUUCAGCUGACCUCACUCCGGAUGCCUGCUUUCCUGGCCCUGCAUGCCUCCUGCCGCCAUGGGUUCCCUCUCCUUUGCUACAGGCUGGACACCAGAGGAGCAACUUAGUUCUGACCUGGGGUUCUGGUUGAGUCAAGUGCAAGAGGAAGUCUGUGUCCCUCGGAACACCCCCUAGCCCUCUCAGCCUGUGCUGGUUGCAGUGGAAGAGCAUCUCAGAAGGCGGGUUGCAGCCACAGAUCCCAGAGAAAACUGACUGUGCACUGUCUGUUUAUCCCUCAUACACUGGAGUGCCUGCCACGCGCCUGGUCCUUCUCAGAGCUACAGGCACAGCUGCUGGACGGAUGGGGCCCUGCCCUCAGGAAGCUGACCUUCUCGUGGGGGAGAAAGGACAGUCAGGGAGGGGCCACUUAAUAGGCACCAGACCAAAACCAAGGCAGUGGGGUGUGGAGAUGGGGGUGCCAGGGGGGCACUCCGUUCACCGUAUGGGACUGGGGAGGGGGAGGCAUGCAGGCUGAAGGCUGGGGUUCCGGGUCUGACAGUGGAGCUGAUAGUGAUGUCGUCUUCAGAGAGGGGUUUAUAGGAGGAGGACGGUGUUUUCAGGGCUGUGGAGAGGUGACAGGCCCCAGGUCUGUCUACUUGGGGUGUCAGUGGGUGAAGAAGAAGAGUCUGAACUGGAGCUAAUGGACACAGCCUUUGUUCAUCCCAGGAUGGGAGUCAAAGCAACGAGGUCCCCGUGGAGGAGACGACAAGAGGGUCUGGGGGCUGAUGCCUGGGGGGCCUCCGUUUGGGCUGUGGAGGACGAGGAGCCAAUGGGCAGAAGCAGGGAGACAGGUGCACAGAUGUCCAGAAAACCAAGAGUGAAGGAGCAUGUUCACAUGGUGGAGAGCAGUCAAGAGUGUGGAUGCUGCAGAGAAGCCCAGGAAGGGAAUGCUCCAGAAGGACCCGUUUGGUUCCACUGGAGGAGGGCCCCAGUGGCCUUGGUUUCGGCAGCGUGCUGGGAGCAGAGGCUGCCAAGGGUGGCAACGGAGGGUGAGCAGGAAGAGAGGAUGCGGGGACAAGACGCGUGAACAGCUCUUUCCUCGGCCGGGGUGUGCGGAGAGAGCCAG